CAGCAGCCGCGGUAAUACGAAGGGGGCUAGCGUUGUUCGGAAUUACUGGGCGUAAAGGGCGCGUAGGUGGCCAUUCAAGUUAGAUGUGAAAGCCCUGGGCUCAACCUAGGAAUUGCAUUUGAUACUGUUUGGCUUGAGUUCGGGAGAGGUGAGUGGAAUUCCCAGUGUAGAGGUGAAAUUCGUAGAUAUUGGGAAGAACACCAGUGGCGAAGGCGGCUCACUGGACCGACACUGACGCUGAGGCACGAAAGCGUGGGGAGCAAACAGGAUUAGAUACCCCGGUAGUCCCUGUCUCUUAUAA
rnacentral:rRNA from 1 species